rnacentral:rRNA from 1 species
AAGCGUUUGUAGCCAGACUUGGCGGCAGUUGCUCAACCGGUCUUUGCCCGGUGCACUCUUCUGUCGACAGGCCAGCAUCAGUUUGGGCGGCCGGAUAAAGGCAUUGGGAACGUGGCUCCUCGGAGUGUUAUAGCCCUU